GUGGUCGUAGCUCAGUUGGUAGAGCAUCAGUUUGUGGUACUGAGGGUCGCGGGUUCGAGCCCCGUCGAUCACCCCA
rnacentral:tRNA from 3 species